rnacentral:rRNA from 1 species
UCGAACGGGCCGCAAGGCCAGUGGCGGAAGGGUGAGUAAGGCGACGGCAACCAACCCCGGGCUUGGGCAUAGCCGGCGGAAACGCCGGGUAAUUCCCAGCGACGUCCAUGGGGGGCAUCCCCCGAGGACCAAAGGUGCGAUUCCGGCACGGGACGGGCCGUCGUGGUAUUAGGUCGUUGGUGGGGUCACGGCCCACCAAGCCGAUGAUGCCUACCGGGCGUGAGAGCGUGGCCCGGCACACUGGGACUGAGACACUGCCCAGACACCUACGGGUGGCUGCAGUCGAGAAUCUUCGGCAAUGGGCGCAAGCCUGACCGAGCGACGCCGCGUGGAGGACGAAGGCCUUCGGGUUGUAAACUCCUGUCGAGGGGGAUGAAGGGGCGGCGAAGAGCCGUCCUUGACAGAUCCCUGGAGGAAGCACGGGCUAAGUUCGUGCCAGCAGCCGCGGUAAGACGAACCGUGCGAACGUUAUUCGGAUUCACUGGGCUUAAAGCGCGUGUAGGCGGCCCGGCACGUCGGUCGUUGAAAGCCCCCGGCUCAACCGGGGAAUCGGCGCCGAUACGGCCGAGCUGGAGGGGUGUAGGGGGGCCUGGAACUUCCGGUGGAGCGGUGAUAUGCGUUGAGAUCGGAAGGAACGCCCGAGCGAAAGCGAUGCCCUGGACACUUACUU